UCUCCUGUCUAGAGUACCCACACCCUGCUCUUCUCUCUUCCUGGGCCCCUUCUGGUUUUCAACGGUUAUCACACUGCCCUGGGGUUUGCUGUUGCUCUUUUGCCCUCUUCCCCUCUGGAAGAGGAUGAUUUGAAGACAGCUGUCCUGUCCUGCUGACACUCGGGUCCCCAGAACCUAGAAGAGUGUCAGUGUCUGACCAUACUCACUAAAAGGACACUGACUUCAUCUUUCAGGUGUGCCCCAUCGACUGCAUGGCCUACAGACCACACGUAUCCCAGGACAGCCGCGAAUGUAGCCCAUUACAUUUGUAAAUGGCAAUGACAUCAGAAGGUUGGCUCCUCCUACAGAGAACUUCUUCAGAAGCCCAAAGCCAAAGCUAUCACCCAAGCUUGCUGGCGAUUUUGGUGCACUGCUGAACGACUGCUGAUGGGAACGAGAGGACAUGAGGAACUCUAACCUCUGACCAGAGACUCUGAAGGAAAGCGUGACCCUGACCUUGCUCCCGUGCUUUGGAGAGGCCAUUUGGGAGAAAAAUUCACUUCAUAUGAAUCUGAGAGUUGCUCUGGCUGGGAUGGAGGAAAGCCAUAUGGCGAAUGUGGGGUUCACAAAUGUUCGCUUUUGAGAAAAUGCUUUAAGCAAGAGUCAUCCAUGGAUCCAUGGUAAGUAAGUAUAGUUUAGAAGGCUGGCCUGUGAGCAAGGGAGGCAAGGAG